rnacentral:rRNA from 1 species
UACGUAGGGCGCAAGCGUUGUCCGGAAUUAUUGGGCGUAAAGAGCUCGUAGGCGGCUUGUCACGUCGGAUGUGAAAGCCCGGGGCUUAACCCCGGGUCUGCAUUCGAUACGGGCUAGCUAGAGUGUGGUAGGGGGAGAUCGGAAUUCCUGGUGUAGCGGUGAAAUGCGCAGAUAUCAGGAGGAACACCGGUGGCGAAGGCGGAUCUCUGGGCCAUUACUGACGCUGAGGAGCGAAAGCGUGGGGAGCGAACAGG